rnacentral:rRNA from 1 species
ACUACAUGGUUGAUAGGCCGGAGGUGGAAGUGCAGUAAUGUAUGCAGCUGACCGGUACUAAUAGUCCGAGGGCUUGACCAG